rnacentral:rRNA from 1 species
GGCUCAGAUUGAACGCUGGCGGAAUGCUUUACACAUGCAAGUCGAACGGCAGCACAGACUUCGGGUCUGGUGGCGAGUGGCGAACGGGUGAGUAAUAUAUCGGAACGUGCCCAGUCGUGGGGGAUAACGUAGCGAAAGUUACGCUAAUACCGCAUACGAUCUAAGGAUGAAAGCGGGGGACUCGCAAAGAGCCUCGCGCGAUUGGAGCGGCCGAUAUCAGAUUAGGUAGUUGGUGGGGUAAAGGCUCACCAAGCCAACGAUCUGUAGCUGGUCUGAGAGGACGACCAGCCACACUGGAACUGAGACACGGUCCAGACUCCUACGGGAGGCAGCAGUGGGGAAUUUUGGACAAUGGGCGCAAGCCUGAUCCAGCAAUGCCGCGUGCAGGAAGAAGGCCUUCGGGUUGUAAACUGCUUUUGUACGGAACGAAAAGGUCUGGGUUAAUACCCUGGGCUCAUGACGGUACCGUAAGAAUAAGCACCGGCUAACUACGUG